AUUGCCCCAGUAACGGCGAGUGAAGCGGCAUGAGCUCAAAUUUGAAAUCUGGGGCCCUCGGCCCCCGAGUUGUAAUUUGGAGAGGCAUCUUCGGAGGGGAGCGCCGGCCCAUGUUCCUUGGAACAGGACGUCGCAGAGGGUGAGAAUCCCGUGCCAGGCCGGCAGCCUCCCCUCGAGUGAAGGGCCUUCGACGAGUCGAGUUGUUUGGGAAUGCAGCUCCAAGUGGGUGGUAUAUUUCAUCUAAAGCUAAAUACCGGCGGGAGACCGAUAGCGCACAAGUAGAGUGAUCGAAAGAUGAAAAGCACUUUGAAAAUAGAGUCAAAAAGUACGUGAAAUUGUUGAAAGGGAAGCGCUUGAGACCAGACUCAGACCCGAGCAAACACCGCGCCCCUCGGGGCCGUGCAAUUGCCAGGGGCUGGGCCAGCAUCAGUUGGCGUGGCGGGACAAAGGCGCGGGCAAUGUGGCUCCCCUCGGGGAGUGUUAUUAGGCCCACGCUCAAUGCCGCCGACGUCGACUGAGGACCGCGCCUCGGCUAGGAUGCUGGCUUAAUGGCCUUCAGCGACCCGUCUUGAAACACGGACCAAGGAGUCUAACAUCUAUGCGAGUGUUUGGGCGUCAAACCCUUGCGCGUAAUGAAAGUGAGCGGAGGUGGGAACCCCUCGCGGGGCGCACCAUCGACCGAUCCUGAUGUCUUCGGAUGGAUUUGAGUAGGAGCAUAGCUGUUGGGACCCGAAAGAUGUUGAACUAUGCCUGAAUAGGGGUGAAGCCAGAGGAAACUCUUGGUGGAGGCUCGCAGCGGGUCUGACGUGCAAAUCGAUCGUCAAAUUUGGGUAUAGGGGCGAAAGACUAAUCGAACCAUCUAGUAACUGGGUUCCUGCGGAAUUUCCCUCGGGAAA
rnacentral:rRNA from 1 species